rnacentral:rRNA from 1 species
AGUGAACGCUGGCGGUAGGCCUAACACAUGCAAGUCGAACGGCAGCACAGUAAGAGCUUGCUCUUACGGGUGGCGAGUGGCGGACGGGUGAGGAAUACAUCGGAAUCUACUUUUUCGUGGGGGAUAACGUAGGGAAACUUACGCUAAUACCGCAUACGACCUACGGGUGAAAGCAGGGGAUCUUCGGACCUUGCGCGAUUGAAUGAGCCGAUGUCGGAUUAGCUAGUUGGCGGGGUAAAGGCCCACCAAGGCGACGAUCCGUAGCUGGUCUGAGAGGAUGAUCAGCCACACUGGAACUGAGACACGGUCCAGACUCCUACGGGAGGCAGGAGGGGGGAAUAUUGGACAAGGGGGGCAAGCCUGAUCCAGCCAUACCGCGGGGGUGAAGAAGGCCUUCGGGUUGUAAAGCCUUUUUGUUGGGAAAAAAAAGCAGCAGGUUAAUACCCCGCUGUUCUGACGGUACCCAAAGAAUAAGCACCGGCUAACUUCGU